rnacentral:rRNA from 1 species
GAAGGCGUGAGCCACCGUGGAGCGUGUACAAGUAAGAAUGUUGGCACAAGUAACCACAAGACGGGUGAAAUCCCCGUCCGCCGAAAGACUAAGGUUUCCGCUGCUAUGUCAAUCAACAGCGGGUUAGUCGGGCCUAAGGAAAUGGCGAUAGCCGCAUCCGAUGGACACAUGGUUAAUAUUCCAUGACUUUAUUACAAGCGAUGGAGGGACGAAGAACAUAAUUCCCCGCGCAUUAUUGGAUUUGACGCUCAUGCUCAUAGACAGGAUAUUUAGGAAAAUCCGGAUAUCACAUACUGUCGCAAGAGUGACGAUUGGAGCCCUCGGGCUCUGAAAGGGGGAAGAAGAGUCUUCCAAGAAAAUCUUCUAGCAUUCAAUUGUAAUGAAUCCGUACCGUAAACCGACACAGGUAGUCAGGUCGAGUAGACCAAGGCGAACGAGUGAGUGAUCCUCAAGGAACUCGGCAAAAAAGCAGCCGUAACUUUGGAAUAAGGCUUGCCCAUGUUUAACUACAUGGGCCGCAGCGAAAGUAUCUCUGGCGACUGUUUAUCAAAAACACAGCUCCCUGCGAAAUCGUAAGAUGAUGUAUAGGGGGUGACACCUGACCAAUGCCAGAAGGUUAAAUAUCGGUGGUGUACAACAUCCAGCGCGUGAUCAAUUGAUCGUGCAUUGAAUGUUGUAUGCUGGCUGAUAUAAGCCCUGGUGAAUGUCGGCCGUAACUAUAACGGUCCUAAGGUAGCGAAAUACCUUGUCGGGUAAAUUCCGACGCGCACGAAUGGUGUAACGACUGGAGAACUGUCUCGAGGAUUAGCUCGGUGAAAAUACAAUACCGGUGAAGAUGCCGGUUACCUGCAGUUAGACGAAAAGACCCCGGGAGCUUUACUAUAGCUUCACAUUGGGCAUGUUGAUAUUGUGCGUAGAAUAGGUGGGAGAGGUUAUGCGUAUGGUUUCGGUCAUACGAUACUCGUCAGUGAAAUACCACUCUCAAUAUUGGCUUGUCCUAACCUGUACGAAAAAACGUACAGAGACAGUGUGUGGUGGGUAGUUUGUUUGGGGCGAAUCCCUCCUAAAUUGUAACGGAGGGGCCUAUAAAGGUCAGCUAGGCGUGAAUGGAAACCAUGCCGAUAGUGUAAUGGCACAAGCUGGCUUGACUGCAAGACGUACAUGUCGAGCAGGUGCGAAAGCAGAGCAUAGUGAACCGACCUAACGCUUUAGAUGCGUGGGAAGAUCAACGGAUAAAAGCUACCCCGGGGAUAACAGGCUAGUAUCGCCCGAGAGUUCAUAUCGACGGCGGUGUUCGGCACCUCGAUGUCGGCUCAUCUUAUCCUGGGGCUGGAGAAGGUCCCAAGGGUUUGGCUGUUCGCCAAUUAAAAAGAUACGCGAGCUGGGUUCAGACCGUUUAGGAGUUGUCAUUAUUGUAUUUAUAUAAUCUUAAUGACUCCUAUACAGUCUGAAUCAAGUUCUGAAAUACGACACAAUCAGGUUUUUUCGUUUUAAUAAAUAAUAAAAAUAGAUAGUACCAAUCAUUGCGGCGGCAUUAUAUGGCGACAUAUAUUGCAUAUUCAACUGAUAUCGGAAAAGUCCCAAUCAUUUUAUGAUGGAUAAUUCCGAGGGAAGGUUUGCAAAAACCACCCGUAGAGACUGAACGUUGAAACACUCACGAAGUGUAUGCUACAGUCC